AAGUCGUAACAAGGUUUCCGUAGGUGAACCUGCGGAAGGAUCAUUACAGAAAUAAUAAUUUCAUUUGAACAUACACACCCUUCCUGUGCACUUUUGCGUGAGCAAAGUAAAGUGCCCCUAUUGAGUUAGGGGUAUUUGAAAUGCUUGCGAGUUUUAUUACAAUACACUCUGUGAUAUAAAGUUUGUUUGCAUGUGUUAUACAAUAUAUCUAUAUAACUUUCAGCAAUGGAUCUCUUGGCUCUC
rnacentral:misc_RNA from 1 species